rnacentral:rRNA from 1 species
CGGCGGACGGGUGAGUAACGCGUGGGUAACCUGCCUCAUACAGGGGGAUAACAGUUGGAAACGGCUGCUAAUACCGCAUAAGCGCACAGUACCGCAUGGUACCGUGUGAAAAACUCCGGUGGUAUGAGAUGGACCCGCGUCUGAUUAGGUAGUUGGUGGGGUAACGGCCUACCAAGCCGACGAUCAGUAGCCGACCUGAGAGGGUGACCGGCCACAUUGGGACUGAGACACGGCCCAAACUCUUACGGGAGGCAGCAUG